CAAUAAAUUGUGAGAUUAUUCGAGUUUAUUUAAUUCUACAAAUUGUAGGAAGAAGCAACAUUAUAAUGUGCUAGCUAUAAGAAAAUAAUAUAGGACAUCAAUAGCGUCUCGGAAAUAAAGGGACAUAAAUGAUCCCACUCUCACUAGAUCCCACUCUCACUAACACAAAUAUGAAUCUCAUUGUACAACAGCCACGGAGUAACUCUUAACAAAACAGGUAAACACAACAGCUAGAUUGAUUGAAUUCAACAUUAUUCCAUUCACAAAUAGUCUCUUACUUGAUCUUUGAGCAAUCAACAUUUGCACUAAUCUUGAAAGGUACCUUGGCCUUACAUAUUCCAGGGAUACUAGCAGCACGGCUGAUUUGAUCUCCGGUAGCGCUUGACGCUACGCUCUUCACGCAUUGGCAAGCGCUCUGGCGAUCCGUGCGCGUACGUGC
rnacentral:lncRNA from 1 species